rnacentral:rRNA from 1 species
GACGAAGGGGGCUAGCGUUGUUCGGAAUUACUGGGCGUAAAGCGUGUGUAGGUGGUUGUCAUAGUCAGGUGUGAAAGCCUUGAGCUCAACUCAAGAAAUGCACUUGAUACUGGGCGACUAGAGGACCGGAGAGGAUAGUGGAAUUCCCAGUGUAGUGGUGAAAUACGUAGAGAUUGGGAAGAACACCAGUGGCGAAGGCGGCUAUCUGGACGGUUUCUGACACUAAGACUCGAAAGCGUGGGGAGCAAACAGG